GACUUACCUUUUAAAUAGAGUCUCCCACUGAAACUGAAGCUCACUGAUUUUGUUAGACCACAUGGCCAUCAAGCCCCAGGGGUCCUCCUCCUCUUCAGUACUGGGAUUAUAGGCACGUGCCAGGCUUUUAUGUGGGUGCUAGAGGUUAAAUUUAGGUCCACAUUGCUUGUAGUGUUACAAUUUGAGUCUUCUCUACUUUCCCAAAAGGUGUUUGUGUAUGUGUUUUGCUUUUAACAUGAGACAUGGAAGAUAAAUUUUGACAGCCACC
rnacentral:lncRNA from 1 species